UAGCAAGGUUAACCGAAUAGGGGAGCCGAAGGGAAACCGAGUCUUAACUGGGCGUUAAGUUGCAGGGUAUAGACCCGAAACCCGGUGAUCUAGCCAUGGGCAGGUUGAAGGUUGGGUAACACUAACUGGAGGACCGAACCGACUAAUGUUGAAAAAUUAGCGGAUGACUUGUGGCUGGGGGUGAAAGGCCAAUCAAACCGGGAGAUAGCUGGUUCUCCCCGAAAGCUAUUUAGGUAGCGCCUCGUGAAUUCAUCUCCGGGGGUAGAGCACUGUUUCGGCAAGGGGGUCAUCCCGACUUACCAACCCGAUGCAAACUGCGAAUACCGGAGAAUGUUAUCACGGGAGACACACGGCGGGUGCUAACGUCCGUCGUGAAGAGGGAAACAACCCAGACCGCCAGCUAAGGUCCCAAAGUCAUGGUUAAGUGGGAAACGAUGUGGGAAGGCCCAGACAGCCAGGAUGUUGGCUUAGAAGCAGCCAUCAUUUAAAGAAAGCGUAAUAGCUCACUGGUCGAGUCGGCCUGCGCGGAAGAUGUAACGGGGCUAAACCAUGCACCGAAGCUGCGGCAGCGACACUGUGUGUUGUUGGGUAGGGGAGCGUUCUGUAAGCCUGUGAAGGUGUGCUGUGAGGCAUGCUGGAGGUAUCAGAAGUGCGAAUGCUGACAUAAGUAACGAUAAAGCGGGUGAAAAGCCCGCUCGCCGGAAGACCAAGGGUUCCUGUCCAACGUUAAUCGGGGCAGGGUGAGUCGACCCCUAAGGCGAGGCCGAAAGGCGUAGUCGAUGGGAAACAGGUUAAUAUUCCUGUACUUGGUGUUACUGCGAAGGGGGGACGGAGAAGGCUAUGUUGGCCGGGCGACGGUUGUCCCGGUUUAAGCGUGUAGGCUGGUUUUCCAGGCAAAUCCGGAAAAUCAAGGCUGAGGCGUGAUGACGAGGCACUACGGUGCUGAAGCAACAAAUGCCCUGCUUCCAGGAAAAGCCUCUAAGCAUCAGGUAACAUCAAAUCGUACCCCAAACCGACACAGGUGGUCAGGUAGAGAAUACCAAGGCGCUUGAGAGAACUCGGGUGAAGGAACUAGGCAAAAUGGUGCCGUAACUUCGGGAGAAGGCACGCUGAUAUGUAGGUGAAGUCCCUCGCGGAUGGAGCUGAAAUCAGUCGAAGAUACCAGCUGGCUGCAACUGUUUAUUAAAAACACAGCACUGUGCAAACACGAAAGUGGACGUAUACGGUGUGACGCCUGCCCGGUGCCGGAAGGUUAAUUGAUGGGGUCAGCGCAAGCGAAGCUCUUGAUCGAAGCCCCGGUAAACGGCGGCCGUAACUAUAACGGUCCUAAGGUAGCGAAAUUCCUUGUCGGGUAAGUUCCGACCUGCACGAAUGGCGUAAUGAUGGCCAGGCUGUCUCCACCCGAGACUCAGUGAAAUUGAACUCGCUGUGAAGAUGCAGUGUACCCGCGGCAAGACGGAAAGACCCCGUGAACCUUUACUAUAGCUUGACACUGAACAUUGAGCCUUGAUGUGUAGGAUAGGUGGGAGGCUUUGAAGUGUGGACGCCAGUCUGCAUGGAGCCGACCUUGAAAUACCACCCUUUAAUGUUUGAUGUUCUAACGUGGACCCGUGAUCCGGGUUGCGGACAGUGUCUGGUGGGUAGUUUGACUGGGGCGGUCUCCUCCUAAAGAGUAACGGAGGAGCACGAAGGUUGGCUAAUCCUGGUCGGACAUCAGGAGGUUAGUGCAAUGGCAUAAGCCAGCUUGACUGCGAGCGUGACGGCGCGAGCAGGUGCGAAAGCAGGUCAUAGUGAUCCGGUGGUUCUGAAUGGAAGGGCCAUCGCUCAACGGAUAAAAGGUACUCCGGGGAUAACAGGCUGAUACCGCCCAAGAGUUCAUAUCGACGGCGGUGUUUGGCACCUCGAUGUCGGCUCAUCACAUCCUGGGGCUGAAGUAGGUCCCAAGGGUAUGGCUGUUCGCCAUUUAAAGUGGUACGCGAGCUGGGUUUAGAACGUCGUGAGACAGUUCGGUCCCUAUCUGCCGUGGGCGCUGGAGAACUGAGGGGGGCUGCUCCUAGUACGAGAGGACCGGAGUGGACGCAUCACUGGUGUUCGGGUUGUCAUGCCAAUGGCACUGCCCGGUAGCUAAAUGCGGAAGAGAUAAGUGCUGAAAGCAUCUAAGCACGAAACUUGCCCCGAGAUGAGUUCUCCCUGACCCUUUAAGGGUCCUGAAGGAACGUUGAAGACGACGACGUUGAUAGGCCGGGUGUGUAAGCGCAGCGAUGCGUUGAGCUAACCGGUACUAAUGAACCGUGAGGCUUAACCUU
rnacentral:rRNA from 1 species